UACAGAGGUCCCAAGCGUUGUUCGGAUUCACUGGGCGUAAAGGGUGCGUAGGUGGUCGGGUAAGUCCGAUGUGAAAUCUCCAGGCUCAACCUGGAAAUGGCAUUGGAUACUAUUCGGCUUGAGGAGUGGAGGGGGGGACUGGAAUUCUCGGUGUAGCAGUGAAAUGCGUAGAUAUCGAGAGGAACACCAGUGGCGAAGGCGAGUCCCUAGACACUUCCUGACACUGAGGCACGAAAGCUAGGGGAGCAAACAGG
rnacentral:rRNA from 1 species